CGGGUGGUUGAUGUCCUUGAUGAUCUUUAUGGCCUUCCUGUAACAUCGGGUGGUGUAGGUGUCCUAGAGGGCAGGUAGUUUGCCCCCGGUGAUGCGUUGUGCAGACCUCACUACCCUCUGGAGAGCCUUACGGUUGUGGGCGGAGCAGUUGCCGUACCAGGCGGUGAUACAGCCCGCCAGGAUGCUCUCGAUUGUGCAUCUGUAGAAGUUUGUGAGUGCUUUUGGUGACAAGCCGAAUUUCUUCAGCCUCCUGAGGUUGAAGAGGCGCUGCUGCGCCUUCUUCCCGAUGCUGUCUGUGUGAGUGGACCAAUUCAGUUUGUCUGUGAUGUGUAUGCCGAGGAACUUAAAACUUACUACCCUCUCCACUACUGUUCCAUCGAUGUGGAUAGGGGGGUGUUCCCUCUGCUGUUUCCUGAAGUCCACAAUCAUCUCCUUAGUUUUGUUGACGUUGAGUGUGAGGUUAUUUUCCUGACACCACACUCCGAGGGCCCUCACCUCCUCCCUGUAGGCCGUCUCGUCGUUGUUGGUAAUCAAGCCUACCACUGUCGUGUCGUCCGCAAACUUGAUGAUUGAGUUGGAGGCGUGCGUGGCCACGCAGUCGUGGGUGAACAGGGAGUACAGGAGACGGCUCAGAAUGCACCCUUGUGGGGCCCCAGUGUUGAGGAUCAGCGGGGUGGAGAUGUUGUUGCCUACCCUCACCACCUGGGGGUGGCCCGUCAGGAAGUCCAGUACCCAGUUGCACAGGGCGGGGUCGAGACCCAGAGAGUCCGCAUGUUUUCGUUGCAGGCCGUGUCAGUGGCACUGUAUUGUCCUCAAAGCGGGCAAAAAAGUUAUUUAGUCUGCCUGGGAGCAAGACAUCCUGGUCCGUGACUGGGCUGGUUUUCUUCUUGAAGUCCGUGAUUGACUGUUGACCCUGCCACAUACCUCUUGUGUCUGAGCCGUUGAAUUGAGAUUCUACUUUGUCUCUAUACUGACGCUUUGCUUGUUUGAUUGCCUUGCGGAGGGAAUAGCUACACUGUUUGUAUUCGGUCAUGUUUCCGGUCACCUUGCCCUGAUUAAAAGCAGUGGUUUGCGCUUUCAGUUUCAUGCGAAUGCUGCCAUCAAUCCACGGUUUCUGGUUAGGGAAUGUUUUAAUCGUUGCUAUGGGAACGACAUCUUCAACGCACGUUCUAAUGAACUCGCACACCGAAUCAGCGUAUUCGUCAAUGUUGUUAUCUGACGCAAUACGAAAUAUAUCCCAGUCCACGUGAUGGAAGCAGUCUUGGAGUGUGGAAUCAGCUUGGUCGGACCAGCGUUGGACAGACCUCAGUGUGGGAGCUUCUUGUUUUAGUUUCUGUCUGUAGGCAGGGAUCAGCAAAAUGGAGUCGCGGUCGUGGUCAGCUUUGAUAAUACUGGCCUGUUGUAGAAGGUACGUCAGAACUGAUUUGUGGUUGGGGGUGUGGUUGUCAUGUUGAUGAUACUGGCCUGUUGUAGAAGGUACGUCAGAGCUGAUGACCGGUGGUUGGGGGUGUGGUUGUCAUGUUGAUGAUACUGGCCUGUUGUAGAAGGUACGUCAGAGCUGAUGACCGGUGGUUGCUGCAAGAUGGACCGAUAUUAUUUCACUACACUAAAAUGUGACAUACAUCAUAUGUUGAUAAAUAACAGUAUGCACAACAUACUUAACUCCAGAUUGUUAGAAAAUAUCAAUAUAACCUUAAAAAAAUACUGAAUUGUACACGUUUUUUCAGAUGAUUCAAGUAACCCUAUUUUAGACCACAUUAUACUGAUCGUUAUUACCAUGGAUGAGAAUACCACUUCAAGUUGGACAGAAUGACUUCUAAAAUAAUAAAAGACACGCUAUGUUAAC
ensembl:lncRNA